rnacentral:rRNA from 1 species
UACGUAGGGGGCAAGCGUUGUCCGGAUUUAUUGGGCGUAAAGAGCGUGUAGGCGGCCAGGUAGGUCAGCUGUGAAAACUCGAGGCUUAACCUCGAGACGCCGGCUGAAACCCUCUGGCUAGAGUCCGGAAGAGGAGAGCGGAAUUCCUGGUGUAGCGGUGAAAUGCGCAGAUAUCAGGAGGAACACCGGUGGCGAAGGCGGGUCUCUGGGCCGAUACUGACGCUGAUGCGCGAAAGCGUGGGGAGCGAUCCGG